UGCCUGCAGAGACCAAAAGGACAAUGGAUCCCCUGAGAGUGGAAUACACGUGGAAUACAGCACCCAAUGUGGGUGCUGGGAAACAAAUUCUGGUCCUCUGUAAGAUCAACAAACAUUCUUAACCACUGUGCCAUUUUCCCAGCUGUCCCUAAAAUGCUGUCUCUUCAGAAGGUAUCACCUGAGGCUCAGGCAACAUCCCUGGAGAGAGCGACAGAAUGUAAAAGCCAGGGCAUACCAAAAAGGGAUGUGAAAUGCAUGUUGUGGUAGGCACAAGCAUAGCAACAAUGUUAUAGCAGUUGGAGUUUGCCUGCACCGGGUCUGCAAAAGACCGGGCAGUCAACAUCUAAGCUUUGGGGAUGGGUUCAUGUAGCACCACCCCUUCCUGCUAAACUAUCAGAUAAUGAUAAAGCCAGAGAGAGGGGUAGUAGUUAUCUUCUUAGUGUAUUUACUGGUAAACUCACAAGACUCCAGUGGACAGUUUUCAAACCCAUGGCCUUACCGACAGCCCUACUAAUAGUGGGCCACAAAAUGAAACAAAAAGACAUGAAUUUGGAAGAGAGUUUUUUGGCAGGGAGGAAGGAUUAACAGGGGUGUAAGAGUGUAAGGAAUCCUAGUAAGUGUGUGUGGAAUUGUUAAAAAACAAAUUUAAUUUUUAAAUGUAUCAUCUCCAUAGAUGAUGAAAGUGUGAAUUUUGAGUCAGGAGUAAUGACCAGUAAUUUUGUAUAGAAUUGUCUUUCAGGGUGUUAAUAUCUAUGUACAUAUUAUAUUAAUGCAUGAAUAUUUAUUUUAGGUAUCAUAAAGUAUAUCUAUCUCUAUAUGUUUAAGUGUCAAGUUAUUUGUGAUUAUAAUAUAUGACAUAUUAAUAGUAUAUUCAAUAUACUAAAGUGUAUAAAGUGCAAGCCAUAUGCUUGCAGAUAUAUAUUGAAGUAGAUAAGAAAACGUUAGGUUAAUGUUUAUUAGUGGGUAUUAAUUACAAAAUAAUGUGUUUCACUGUGGUAUUUUCAUGUAUGCAUAUGAUAUAUUCUCAUCAUCUUCACCCUCAUAGUAAAUUUAGGUAUGCAGGUAUCUCUACAGUGUGCUGACUUUGAUUCGAUCUUGUAUACACCCAAGCUAGAAGAGCUGGAUCAAAUGGUAGUUUUAUUUAAUUUUAUCCUUCACAAGGUAUCCAAAGCUUGUAUGCACUCCUCAAACUUCAUGGAAUACAUAAUAUCUAUAUAUCUGUUUUUUAUCUUUACACCCCACAGUAUUGCUACAUAGUUUCAGAGUUACCUUCUCUUUCUGUGUAGUAAGACCUAAUAUCUCUAUUAUAAUAUUACUCUUGUACUUUAAGGCAAUUAUUCAAUAAAGAUUACUUGAAAUAUAGACAGUAGAAUGCCAUGACAGCCAUUGAAAUGGUCAUUGAAAAACUACAAAGUAAUAUAUAUAUGAUACAUUAAACAAAAGAAUUAUUCAUAUCCGAGGCAGGAUAGAAGAUUGAGAGUUCAUUAUUAUCUUCAAAAUGGAGCACAAUUUAAGUUCAUCACUUCUAUAUUUCCAGAAUAUACAUUUAAUAUAUCCAGACCAUGGUUAAUUAUAGAUAACUUGAACUAUGGAAACAAAACUGAAUGUGGAGGCAUUACUCUAUAUAUUUGAGAUCCUACCACCAGGAACCUGUAUUUUAAGUUAGUGAUUAUCAAUGUAUAAGCAGUUUUCAUCUGUCUGAAUUCCUAAAUAUUUUCAUCCUGUUUUCCCUGACUUGAUAUUGAGGUAAAUAUUAGACAGUGGCAUUUGUUUAAAUAUUUUCAUCUAUAUUACUAGGAAAAUUCUGUUUAAAAACAAUACAUCUCCAGUAUUUCCGUGGCUGAAAAUAAGCAACAAUUCCUUACCAUCAAAACAAUGAUUCCUUGACCUCAUCAGCUAUUAGUAUUCAAACUUCUCCCAGGUGCUUUUCACACAUGCUUCUGAGAGCACACACCUAGGGAAGACUUUUUUUUUUUUAAAUUAUCAUUGCUAUUAGUAAAGAUGACUUUUGGAGUGUGGAAAUUUACUUGGUGCAAAAAUCUCUGAUGGUUCGACUUUCAGGUUCAUAGAUUUGGUUAAUUUUCAUGACAAUAUGAGCCUCUUCUUAGCUGUUUUCUUUAGACCAAGGACCCUUUUGAGGUAUUGGCCUCUCUUUAUGAAUGUCACAAAAGAAGCUCAACUGUCUAAGUAAACAGUAAACCCAAGUGUCCAAUGACAUUUAAUCUGAGUGCUUACCGUUUCUGUGGCGACCACGGCUCCAGUGGAUCUUCUGUGUGUUCUUUCAUCUAUCUUAUCUUGUCAGAAAUCUCAGUUUGACCUUUUCCUUUCUCCGUGAUCUAUACAUAUAGUAGAAUUCUAAAAGUAUUUUUGGCAAUCAAGAUUCUCUUCUGAUCUUUGUGUGAAAAAAGAAACAUUUAUGAUCUUGAAAAAGCAUAUGUUAACUUCCUUUGAAUUCUUUAGAUCGGCUAAAAGAUAAAUUUGCCAUUUAGAGUAUAACAUUGAAAAGAUUUGUCUUCAAAGGGGACCUAGGCAGUAGUGCUUUUUUAUCUUAGGGAAUUUAUAUUUUUUAAAGGAAACAGCAACCAAAUUUGAAAACCAGAGGGCAGUCAAUGGAUCAACGUUUCAAAGAACCAUGUCUCAAAAAAUAGAGCUUUUGAUUUCUUAAAAUGAUCUCUGAAGUCUCAUCUUGAAAUACAUAAAUCAACAAAUUGAAUUUUAAUGGAAAAUCAAGGGUAUUUUUGAAAGGCUUUUGGAUGUGGCUUUCAAAAACCUGAAGUCAGAGAAUUAUCUGCUUGUACGACAGCAUUGACUUCACCUCAACAACUUCAUUUUUAAGUAAGAGGAUAAAAUCUGAAGGACAAAUGAAGGAAGAAACUUGUUUAAAAUAACAGGCUCAACCAUCUCACUCUUUCCAUUGCCUUAAUCAUUUGCCUGCUCAGCCUGCUGUCUGUCACCCACUAGAUUCUUAUGUUCUUCAUGCACUUCAGAAGAGUAAGAAAUGUCUAUAACUGCUAUCACUUAUUUGCUAUUUGAUGACAAAAAUCAAUUAGAAAAUUAUGCCAUCAUGUUAUAUCCAGUGAUCUAUUGAAAUAUCAAUAGUGAUUUUUCUCUAAUUCAUAUAAUAGUACUGAAGAUACAGAAGCAUUUGAGUUCAUGUACACUAAACUUUUCACAGCAGUUCUGUGAGUCCUGCACUGGAAUCAUUCCCAUGUGGAAGUAGAGGCUCCAAAGCCACAGACUUGGAUGAUAUAAGCCUUGCGGUCUAGUAAUUGUCUGGGACAUUCUCCUUUUGACAGUACUGAGUUUUGAACUUGGACCCUCAGACGUGCCUCAAGAGUGUUCUAUUAAUGAGAUACAACCCCAGCCCCUUGGGUGAUACUUUAUGUUUUGGAAUCAUGAUUUGGAAUUUGCAUUUCCAUUUCAUUUAACUGAAUUUUUUCCCCUAUGAUUUCUUGGCAGAAAAGACAAAAUAAAAAAAAAAUAAAGAAAAUAAGAAUUUCUGGUUAAGAAGAACUUCCCACCAAGAAAAUCUGGAUAAAAAUCUAGAAUGAACUAAAAGGCACAAUUUGGGAAGUUUUGUGGGCAUUUACAGAAAAGGCCAUGUGAAAGAAGAUCUCCGCUGAAUCUAAAGUGGGCAGUACCUUUCAGCUUGUGGCCCAGAGAUGAAGAGGUUUGAGGAAAGGUAAUGCUGUAAAUAGAGCUGUCUGCCUAACUAUUGUGAUCCUGGGUGCUGCUAUUUGCACUCUUCUGCUGCUGCCAUUAUCUCUGCAGCUGCCCUUCCCCUGAAUAAGACCACAAAUUGGCCCUCCAGAGUUGACUGCAGAUCAAUAACUCUGUAGGAAUCUUCAGACUUUCAGUGCCAGAUUAGGACUGAUGCACCUUUUGACUUGGAAUGAACAGCUACUGGGUUCUCAGUAUCUCUAUCGUAUUGCUUACAGCUGUUGGACUUACACAGACUAUACUGUGUAAUCCAUUCUACGAAAAAUUUUAAACUUUAUUUCUUUGGGAAGUUAACCCUGCCUAAGUACAAGGGGUGACUGAUGUGUUUACUUACCAUUUGUCCCAGGCACUCUUGUGGGAUGUGAACUCCUAACCCACAGGAGUGAUGGGUGAAGUGUAUGCUGGCAGUAGAAAGAGAAAAUCAAGCCUUUGUACUACACUUGGACCAAUGCUCCCUGCAAGGAGCCGAUGUGCACAAAGGCGGCUGUCUGACUGUAGUGCAGUCUGUGAACCUAUGUGCAACUCCCACGGUUUCAGGGGAUGAAGAAAUGGCCCAGUGGAUAAAUUCAUGUCAGCUCCGAAAGAAGACUUGAGUUCAGUUUCCAGUGCCAAUAUCAGGGGUCUCACAACUGCCUGCAACCCAAGAUCCAGGAGAUCUGAUGCCUUAAUUAAAAAAAUAAAAUAAA